rnacentral:tRNA from 1 species
AGGCGUGUUUCGAACCCCAAGAACUG